GAUCGCGCCCUUUCCAGUAAACUCAUCGGUGAUUUUACCACCGCCGCCUUUCUUUACAUCCGACUUCGGAGUCUGUGCCGGUGGGGCAGUGGCGGCUGCUGAGGUCGAGUACUCUGAGACGCGCGAGAGGAGGUGCCCAUAAGGAGACGCGCGGCGCGUGGAGGCAGGAGAGAACACAGAUGAGUUAGAAAACGAAGAUUUGGAGGGAGAUCGGCGGACAGAUGAGCGAAGGAGAGAUGAUAGGAGUCUACGUGAAGCCAUUGGUCAGGGCUUCAAUGUUGAGAGAAUGAGAAUAG
rnacentral:lncRNA from 1 species